rnacentral:lncRNA from 1 species
GCAAAAAGGCCAGUCUGCACAUGUUCUAGUGCAAACCUGACACUACAUGACAUUAGGCAUGAAAAGAAACCCAGAGGAAUGAUCCAUGUUAUCAUACAAUUGAGAUGUGAGACACUCCUCUGGCUCAGAAAUGUGCAAGACCUAAACACAGCUUGAGGUUAGUUCAAGUGCUUUAAAUCUGUAUGAGUAAACCACUCAGGAAAAGAGAGGCAGGAAGUCAAACAGAGAAGACUGUGAUUUUAAGAGCUUUAACAAGAUGAUGAAACAACAGAGAAAAACAGAGGUCAUUUUUGUCUGGGUCUUAGCCAUCUGGCUCUCUUCAGUUGUCAACAGUGAAAAGAAUUUGGCAGUACAUCCAACCGGCCUCACAACCGCAGACCAUGUGUAAACAUGCCAGACCAGGACCUCCACAUCUGGCUUCUUCACCUGUGGGAUCGUCUGAGACCAGCCACGUGGACAGCUGAUGAAACUGCGGGUAAAGUGGAGCUGAGAACCAGUACUGAGGUAAAGGCUCAGUGUGAUCAGAAUGUGUCCCUGCAGUGUGACAUCAUGUCACCGAGCCCACUCAAGAUCAUUCUCUUUUCCUGGGUAAGGAAAGGGAAACAGCUGUGUGUGGUCAAUGCCACUGGUGUAUUCUCCUUUCCUGGCGUCCGGUGUGACAACACAAACAACACCCUCACACUCAAUCUGACUCGGGUGAUGCCGUCCAGUCAGGGUAACUACACCUGCAAACUGCGCUCCAACCUAACGAUCACAGCUGCCAACACCACUGUGACAAUGCAAGAGUGCCUAAGGACAUCUGAGCACAAAGUGUUCCAGAAUGAGUCUCAGGUUGAGUGCCAGUUAUUUGGAGUUUACCCAGAAGGCACAGUACACUGGUUCCUGGGCUCUGAGAAUAUAACAGAGUCCGCCAGCACAAAGAGCCAGCUGGAUGAAGAGGGGCUGUUUGAUAUAAGGAGUACCCUGCCUACCCAGGCUGGGACUGAGCCUUACAACUGCUCCUUGUGGAUACCUAGUAGUGGAACCUACAGCUCUCACAAACAGCUGCACUACUCCAGGGGGCUCUCUUCAGGGACAAAGACUAGGAGCAGACUGCUGUUGUUCUUCAUCCUGGUUGGACUCAUAAUCAUAAUUUAGGACUACUCAUGGGAAGGUCAGGAGUUUUUUUACUGAAUAUGGGACUUCGAACUACAGUAGGGCAAAGGGCUUUUCUGGUCAGGGCACAUCUACACAGGAUGGAUCAGGGCCUUUCUCUUACUGAGUGAAGAGAAAGCAAACCUGGACUGCCAUGGCCAAAGUAGAUAUAUGUUUUCACUUAUUAUACUGGGAAGCAAAAUAUCAAAGAAAUUGCAAUAAAUACAAUUGAAUUUUAAAGCUGAAAAUCAUUGUACAUUGGGAUUUGAGAAUACUGUAAGAAGUAUUCAUCCGUUCAUCGUUUGUCUUCAACGUUAUACACUUGCUUAAAUUGCAUUGCUUAUUACAGUAGUAGAGUACUGCUUCCUGGUGGUGAAAGUGUUUACUGAUGGAAAUAGUAUUGAUGUUAGAUGAGUAAUAAAGCUGUUCUAAAUUGUAUUGUUGAAUUGACUGAUCUUGCUUAUUAAGUCUGUCAUAUCUUGUUGCUGUGUUUUCCAGUCAGCACUGAUUAGACUGAUUAUAUAAUCAAUCAAUGCAAUGUCAAAACAUGGCUAGAAGGACAUGUUACUGUGUGUUCUGGAUUCUAAAAUACAACUUGAAUUGUACCAUAGCAAAUAUAGUCACCCGUGUUGUUUUCUGUACUAGUUCUCAAUUUAAAAAUGAACCAGACCACCCUGGGUACUCAUGACAUUGACAGUAAAAGAAUGAGGACUCAUGGUCAUUCAAAUUGCAUUUCUAGUUCCUUCUCAGUGUACCACAAGGGGGCAGAGUCAUCCCACCAGAGAGGACUGUCAAACCAAUCAUACACAACUCUUCUCCCUCUGCAUACAAACACACACUCAUGCUGUGUGAAUUCCAAUCCAACUGUUCUGUAUAAAUCAACACUUUGAUGUGACACAUUUCCUAUCAAUUUCCUCUACGCCAAUGUGGGUCUCCUGCAAAGUGAAGGAGUGAAGGGUAAAAUGUCUGUCAUUAUAAAACACUCAAAUAAAU